AUGGUUAAGUUGGGAGAUGAAAACACCAAAUUCUUUCAGGCCAAAGCUACAAUCAAAUACAGGAAGAAUCAUAUUAGUACCCUGCAAGAUGAAUCUGGACAGGAAGCAAUAGAACAUCAAGCAAAGGCAGCAAUUCUAUGGAGAGCUUUUAAGGAUAGAUUAAGCACAACCACUCCAACUUUUGAACCUUUUCCUUUGAACAGUCUGCUGCAUAAACAUGGAAAUCUAAAGGAGUUGGAAAGACCUUUUACAAAAGAAGAAAUAGAUGUUGUGGUAGCACAACUACCUUCUGAUAAGGCACCUGGGCCAGAUGGUUUUAAUGGGGCUUUCAUUAAGUCCUGCUGGAAUAUCAUUGCCGAAGACUUUUAUGACCCGGUCAAGGAUUUCUAUGAGGGAAAUGUCAAUCUGCAGAGUAUCAACUCCUCAUAUAUCACUCUCAUUCCCAAAAAAGAUAAUCCCAUGCUCCCA
rnacentral:rRNA from 1 species